GUGUCAGCAGCCGCGGUAAUACGUAGGUUGCAAGCGUUGUCCGGAUUUACUGGGUGUAAAGGGCGUGUAGGCGGAGAUGCAAGUUGGGAGUGAAAUCCCGGGGCUCAACCCCGGAACUGCUUUCAAAACUGUAUCCCUUGAGUGUCGGAGAGGCAAGCGGAAUUCCUAGUGUAGCGGUGAAAUGCGUAGAUAUUAGGAGGAACACCAGUGGCGAAGGCGGCUUGCUGGACGAUAACUGACGCUGAGGCGCGAAAGCGUGGGGAGCAAACAGGAUUAGAAACCCCCGUAGUCC
rnacentral:rRNA from 1 species